ACUAAGAUUCAUCGUCAGCGACGCUGGCUUCACGUUGGCUCGUGAUGUCGCUGGGGGCCUAGGCUCUCGGCGAUACGCGGUCAUCGCGUUACGUCCGGCGGCGUCGGCGUGCACUUCUCCCCUAGUAGAACGUCGCGACCCGUUGAGCGCCGAUCUAAGGCCCGGGUGGGCGCCUGUAGCGUCUCAGCACGCGACAAACCCCCGGUCGCCAGUAUCGGCUGCUCGGCGGUACUCCCAUGGUAUCGGGCCGCAUAAUCGAACUGCGUCGGGCCCACCGCAAGCGCGGUCAGUUAGUCGCGGAGGUACGGACCUAGCGCCGUCCCCGUGCCUGGCCAGCUGUUGGAAGGCGGUGUCCUCCGACAGGCCGAAAAAACAAUUUCGAAAGUGUGAUACCGGUCGGCGACGCUAUUGCUUUGGGUAAUCUCAGGACCCGUCUUGAAACACGGACCAAGGAGUCUAACAUAUGCGCGAGUCAUUGGGACAAGUAUGCCUAAAGGCGAAAUGAAAGUGAAGGUCGGCCCUAGCGCCGACAGAGGGAGGAUGAGCCGCGUUACGAUGCGGCUUCGCACUCCCGGGGCGUCUCGCUCUCAUCUCGAGGAGAGGCGCACCCAGAGCGUAUACGUUGGG
rnacentral:rRNA from 1 species